GGGGGAGUAAUCCCCCUGCCUAAUGUAGCCGUGGACGGUCACAAGCCCGUGUAAAUACAGAGUGGGUA
rnacentral:ribozyme from 1 species